CACAUUACCUCACGCAGACUCACUGAAAAUGUCAACAACUGUUCAGCCUUUUAUGUUCAAAACGGAGUCGGACAAUGAUGGAGAGACUCAAGAAGAAGUGACAACAUUUUGAAUGCAACAGGACGUUUCUGAAUGGACACUGAAGCCUUUGUUCUGAGCAGCAAAGUGUCUGACUUAUGGGAUGGAACUGCUAUCAGAUAAGGGUUGCUGCUGCUGCCGUCUCCUCCGUCACUCAAGGCUUUGAUCUGAACGAGCAGGUCCUCUUCUGAUGGCAACUGAAGCUCCACGGACGUCCUGUUGGUCUCCACUACACCGCUUCCUCUGUGCCAGUUU